GACGAACGCUGGCGGCGUGCUUAACACAUGCAAGUCGAACGAGUGGCGAACGGGUGAGUAACACGUGGGUGAUCUGCCUUGCACUUCGGGAUAAGCUUGGGAAACUGGGUCUAAUACCGGAUAGUGCAAGAUGAGCUCGCGGCCUAUCAGCUUGUUGGUGGGGUAGUUGCUACCACGGCGCGCCGGGUAGCCGGCCUGAGAGGGUGUACGGCCACAUUGCGACUGAGUGACGGCCCAGACGCCUACGGGAGGCAGCGGGGGGGAGUAUUGCGCAAUGGGCGGAAGCCUGAUGCAGCGACGCCGCGUGGGGAAUGAAGGCUUUCGGGUUGUAAACGCCUUUCGACAGGGACGCGGUACCUGUAUAAGAAGCACCGGCUAACUACGUGCCAGCAGCCGCGGUAAUAC
rnacentral:rRNA from 1 species